rnacentral:rRNA from 1 species
GACGAACGCUGGCGGCGUGCCUAAUACAUGCAAGUUGAGCGCUGAAGGUUGGUACUUGUACCAACUGGAUGAGCAGCGAACGGGUGAGUAACGCGUGGGGAAUCUGCCUUUGAGCGGGGGGCAACAUGUGGAAACGAAUGCUAAUACCGCAUAAAAACUUUAAACACAAGAUUUAAGUUUGAAAGAUGCAAUUGCAUCACUCAAAGAUGAUCCCGCGUUGUAUUAGCUAGUUGGUGAGGUAAAGGCUCACCAAGGCGAUGAUACAUAGCCGACCUGAGAGGGUGAUCGGCCACAUUGGGACUGAGACACCGCCCAAACUCCUACGGGAGGCAGCAGUAGGGAAUCUUCGGCAAUGGACGAAAGUCUGACCGAGCAACGCCGCGUGAGUGAAGAAGGUUUUCGGAUCGUAAAACUCUGUUGGUAGAGAAGAACGUUGGUGAGGGUGGAAAGCUCAUCAAGUGACGGUAACUACCCAGAAAGGGACGGCUAACUACGUG